AUUGAAAGAAUAGAAAUUUAGUAGGAUAAGGGUUAAAACCUGAAUUUUUAUGCAUAUGAGUCAUUGGUGUAUGGUAAAAAUUUACUGAUGACUGCAGUAACCGUCAACAUGCUUUCAGAAAAAACACCUUGGUAUUGCAGGUUUUGUUGUGAAUGUUAUGUGUCUGGCGUCUUGAAUUCUUUGAAACUCAGACAGAAACUCAGACAGACUUCAACAAAAAUUCUGUCUCUUGACAUGUCUGAAUACUUUACUUUUUAUCUACAUUAUAAAACAAAGUUAAAUAGUGUUUUCUUACACAUAAUUUUUACUUUUACUGUUUUCAGCAUUCACCAGUUGAGAGGGUUGCAUUACCAAGGCCUUAUAGACCAUUGUCUAAGAUAUUCCCGGUGUCUUUGGCUUGGAGGCAUUAACAAAAUCACACACCUUAAUUAUGAGAAAAGUAAAAUCGCACACCUUGCCAAUCUUGAUAAUGAAAAAGUAAAUUUGCACACACCUCUGCCCAUCAAGUAAAUUUGCAAACCCUUCACACCUCCAAGAUGAGAAACUCUUCCUUUGAACUCCAACAUAAAAUUGAAGCUGCUGAAACUCUAGUCUUUAGUAUUUUUUAAAGUUUUCAGAUUAAACCAUUCCUUACUUAUAUAUCAUGAAUUUGUGAUAUGAAUAGGGACUUUCUGGUCACAGACCAAUUCACAAGCAGACAAGCUGUCACAAGGUUAGGCAAAAGGACAAUGUUCAUUUUGACAUUGGAUUAUGGUUGGAAAUCUCCAAGUCUAAAAUAAUUCUAAAACAGAAAAAGGGGAAACUCUACAGGUUGCUCAACAAGACAAAAAUGAAAAUCUUUCAGUUAUAGUUUGAUUGAACCAGUUCAUGGACGGUAGUGAAAAUGCAUGCUAUCAUCACAUCCUCUAGGCCCAGGUUGAGCAGAACUCGACAUUUACACAUGCUACAAGUACAAAAACAAUUAAGAGACAUUUGCAGAUGUGUUCAUACAGCGGUGCACAUUGAACCUUCAGUAAUACACUUGUGUGUUAUUCAGAUAAAAGCGGGGUAUCAUAAUGGUCCCCAUUUAAAAUAAUGGAUUUGUCCUAAACGAGAAAACAAUGCCAGGGCACAACUAAACAACUUGAAUUUAAAAAGGAGAUCUGAGGUUAUGGUUAUUCAUAUCACAGAAACUGCUAAAAGACAAUGCGCUCCACUAUUCGGCAAUUUGUCAAGAACGCAAAUUAGAGUUAUUGGGAUUGUAACCACAAAUGCAGAUGAUGACGACAGUUGAUGGUUCCAGGCUGUUUGGACAUUGAAUGAGUUGUGCUUCCACGGAUGUAGCAAAUAGAUGUUUCAUAUAUACCAUCAGGGAAGGUAACUUUAGUGUCACAUUCUGGGACUAGCACGUGCCAAAGAGAGGCGUAGGACAAGGUUUCUUCAUGUUUUUGGACUGCAAGGUAUUCAGAUUUGUGAUGCUUGAUUGGUAGUCUAAAUUGCUUCGUACUGUGCCAGCCAAUCCUAAUAUAAACCUGAGUUUGGGGACCAGAAGAUUGCAACUUUCUUAUUGGUCAGUUUUAAAGCUGAGCUCGGUGUCAACCAAUUAGAUGCUUGAGAUCUGAGACUGGUUUAUGUAUUCUACUGGUAUAUACUACACAAGAUUUCUUCCUUAUUUCUCUUGCUCAAUAUAAUAAAAUAUUAUAUGAAUAUAUUUUUGUAGCU
rnacentral:lncRNA from 1 species